rnacentral:rRNA from 1 species
GAAAUAGUUUAUUAAAAUUAUUUAAUUAUAUUUUUUAAAAAAAGAAAUUUAAUUUUUAUUAAAAUAUUUGAAAUAAUUUGUUUAAUUAUAGUUUAUUAGUAUUGUGAAAGAAAAUUUUUUUAUAAUAAAAAGAAAAAUUAAAGUUUUGUACCUUGUGUAUCAGGGUUAAUUAAUUAAAAUUUAAUUAUUUAAUUUUCUCGAAUUUAAAAGAGUUAAUUAUUUAUAAAUUUUAUUGUAAAAUAAAUAUUUAAAAUAAGUAAUUAGUAAUGAAACGUUAUUCGUUUUUAAAUAUAUCUAGUUUUUUAAGAAAUAAAUUUAAUUUAGUUAUUAUUAUAUAAAAUUUUUAAUUUUUAAUUUUUUAUUAUUAAUAGCUAAUUUUUUUAGGGAUAAGCUUAAAAAAAAAAUAUUAAAAUUUAAUUAAAAAUAUAUAAGUUAUAAAAUUAAAAUUUUUUAUAAAUAAUAAAUUGUUAUAAAUAAUUAUAUUAUAAAUUUUAUUUUGAUUAAGUUUAAAUUUUUUAUUAAAAUAUUUUUUUUAAUUAUAUAAAAAAUGUAAUAAUGAUUAAAUUAGUAUAAAUAUUAUGUGGAUAUAAAUUUUAUUUUAAGGUUAUUUUAAGGAACUCGGCAAAAAUAUUUUUCACCUGUUUAAUAAAAACAUGUCCUUUUGAUUAUAAUUUAAGGUCUAAUCUGCCCACUGAGAAUUUAAAUGGCCGCGGUAUUUUGACCGUGCAAAGGUAGCAUAAUAAUUAGUUUUUUAAUUGAAAGCUGGAAUGAAUGAUUGGAUGAGAAAAUAACUGUCUUAAAUUAAUUUUUUUAGAAUUUUAUUUUUAAGUAAAAAAGCUUAAAUAAUAUUAAAAGACGAGAAGACCCUAUAGAGUUUUAUAUAUAUUAAAUUUUAAUUAUUAAUGGUUUUAAAUAAAUUAUUUUUUGUAUAUAUUUUGUUGGGGUGAUAGAAAAAUUAAAUAAACUUUUUUUUAAAAUGAAACAUUAAUAAAUGAAUUUUUGAUCCAAAAUUUUUGAUUAUAAGAUUAAAUUACCUUAGGGAUAACAGCGUAAUUUUUUUUGAGAGUUCUUAUCGAAAAAAAAGAUUGCGACCUCGAUGUUGGAUUAAAGUUAAGUUUUGGUGUAGAAGCUGAAAUUUUAGGUCUGUUCGACCUUUAAAACUUUACAUGAUCUGAGUUUAGACCGGUGUGAGCCAGGUCGGUUUCUAUCUUUAGUUAAUUAAAAUAUUUUAGUACGAAAGGACCAAAUAUUUAUUAAAUUAAUUUUUUUAGA